rnacentral:rRNA from 1 species
UAAAUAAAAAAGUUUAUUUUACCUAGGUAGACGAUAAGACCCUAAAACCUUUAUUGAGCAUAAACCUCUUUUUGCUGGGGAGGCAAACUAUAAUUUCCAUAGUUUAUAAAAACAAAAUAAAUGGCUUUAAAUAACUUAAGCUUAAAUUCAAAAAGGUACUUUAGGGAUAACAGCAUAAUUUUUAUACAGAGUUUACUUAUCGACAUAAAAGAUUAUGACCUCGAUGUUGAAUUGAUAUUACUUUACUAAGCAGCCCUAGUAAUUUGCAGGUCUGUUCGACCUUUAAUUUAUCACAUGAUC